GACGAACGCUGGCGGCGUGCUUAACACAUGCAAGUCGAACGGAAAGGCCCUGCUUUUGUGGGGUGCUCGAGUGGCGAACGGGUGAGUAACACGUGAGUAACCUGCCCUUGACUUUGGGAUAACUUCAGGAAACUGGGGCUAAUACCGGAUAGGAGCUCCUGCUGCAUGGUGGGGGUUGGAUAGUUUCGGCGGUUGGGGAUGGACUCGCGGCCUAUGAGCUUGAUGGUGGGGUAGUGGCUGAGCAAGGCUUUGACGGGUGGCCGGCCUGCGAGGGUGACCGGCCACAUUGGAACGGAGAUACGGCCCAGACUCCUACGGGAGGCAGCAGUGGGGAAUAUUGCACAAUAGGCGGAAGCCUGAUGCAGCAACGCCGCGUGCGGGAUGACGGCCAUCGGGUUGUAAACCACUUUCGCCUGUGACGGAGCGUUAGUGACGGUAAUGGGUAAAGAAGCACCGGCUAACUACGUG
rnacentral:rRNA from 1 species